AUUAUUUCUUUGGUACAAACCCACUAUAUUGAUGUCCCUAAGUAGCGUGGAAGAGUUGUUUGGGUCAUCCAACCAUUAGUAGUGCCCGUUUGCAAACCCUAACUAUUGAAAGAAGUGAAGAACAAAGACCUUGGGGAGCCCGAGGCGUAGAUUUGGGUUAGCUUUAGAUUGGCUAGCUUGGAAGUGCGUUCGAGGUAUGUAAGGCAACUUCCUUUCUUUUUGGCAUGUCUUAGUUCCAUAGGCUAAAUUAGAGCCUUAAGGAAAUUCCAAAUCCGAAAUCCGAGCAUGAUAUGAUAUAUAUAUAUAUAUAUAUUCCUUGGCACUCCUAUGUAUGAUUUGAUGAAAAAUGAGCCGUUAUGUUUUUGAAAGAAGGGAUUUCCAAACUUUGUACAAAAAGGGUUUUACUUUAAUGAAUUUCGUAAUUUUUGAAUGUCAUAUCUUUCGCAUAAAUGCUCGGAUUGUUCCAACAUUUUCAUAAGAGUUUGCAUGAUAUAUAAUGAGUAUGUCUUCCAUAAGCGGGCCUGGUUCGGGUCGAUACCCGUCCGUGGGUCCGCGACUUUCCCUUAUGUAAUUCGGAGAAUCUUUGAAAGAAUUUGGUAUGACCAUUAUCCGAUUUCAAAUAUGACCAUUUUAAUGAUGUUUGAAGUUAUGAUAAUGAUUUUAUGCAUAUGACUACUCACGACUCUAAUCGUGCAUCUUUUAUUCCUUUCGCCGAGUCCCGGGCCGGUUCUGUUAUCGUGCGCAUUUUGACAUACUCCGGAGUUAUGCUGUGUUUAUGGUUCACCGAGCUACUCGCAAAAGAGGGUCGGGUUCCACCUAUAUUUGGUGUUAUGUUGUGUAUGGCGUUAUGUUGUGAUGUGAUAUGUGACGGGGAUACGGAGAUUUGAGACUUUCUGGUGUUAUGCUGUGUUAUGGCGCCAUCGACGGGUGGGCGACCAUAUUCUUCUGUACCCGAUGCAUGACUCGCAUAUUUUUUUUUAAGCAAAUAAAUUUUGAUACGUUGGAUUUGCACUUAUGUUUGAUACUUCCAUUUCGUUUAUGUCUCGGAUUUACUUUCUGUACAUUCUGCUUUGCAUACUCAGUACAUAUUUCGUACUGACCCCCUUUUUUUGGGGGGGGGGCGCGUUUCAUGCCGCGGUACGGACGCACGGUUUGGUGAUCCACCGGUUUAGGACAUCCCCUUCUUCUGCUGUUGGAGUGCUCUUCUCGUUUCAGAGCAUACACUUUUGGUAUAUAUAUAUUUUGUUCGCUAUGUAUGUAUACAUUUGUUCAGGGGUACGGCGGGGCCCUGUCCCGCCAUAUGUUUCGGUUGGUCUGUGUAGAGGUCUGUAGACGUAUUUGUGGGUAUGUGUGCCUACCUCUGUACAGUUGUGUUUGUAUGACCCUAUUCGUUACGGC